CGUAGGCUGUUAGUACAAAUUAGAGUAAAAGACUGAGGUUGUACCUCUUAUAUCUCUUCUUACUGACUAACUUGGGUUCUAAAGGCGAUAUAUUGAACUCCUAAAGUAAGGGUAAAAUCUGUUGAUAUUUGGAGGACAUUCGAAAGCGAAAGCAUUUAUCGAUUUAGAUCUGACGCUAAGGUACUAAAGUGUGGUUAUCAAAAAGGAUUAGAGACCCUUGUAGUCCACACCUUAAACAAUGAGUAUUCAACGUCCUUUAACAUGGUAAGAAAAUCUUAAUUUUAUUUAUUAAUUUUGUUCUUUAACCAGAAGUUUUAGGGGAUUUAAAGCUAACGCGAAAAUACUCCGCCUGGGGAAUGUGGCCGCAAGGUUUAAACUCAACGGAAUUGACGGAGACUUGUACAAAG
rnacentral:rRNA from 1 species